CUACCAGUAGUUUAUUAAAACAUUUCCUUUUCACGGAAAAAAUACAUUCAUUAUGUCUAGUAGC
rnacentral:tRNA from 1 species